CCCUUAGAUGUCCUGGGCCGCACGCGCGCUACACUGAGUGUCUGAGAUACGAGUCUGCCUGGUCCGGCAAGGUCUAGGUAAUCGCUAAAAGACACAUCAUGCUUGGGAUAGAUUAUUGCAAAUAUUAAUCUUGAACGAGGAAUUCCUAGUAAGCGCAAGUCAACAGCUUGCGUUGAUUACGUCCCUGCCCUUUGUACACACCGCCCGUCGCUACUACUGAUUGGAUGUUUAAGCGAGGUUCUCGAACUACUAGCGACUUAGCUUCGGUGAGGUCGCAGUGUGGGAAGUGAACCUAGCUUUGGUGUCUAGAGGAAGUAAAAGUCGUAACA
rnacentral:rRNA from 1 species